rnacentral:rRNA from 1 species
AAAUGCCUACGGGAGGCAGCAGUGAGGAAUAUUGGUCAAUGGGAGAGAUCCUGAACCAGCCAAGCCGCGUGAGGGAAGACGGCCCUAUGGGUUGUAAACCUCUUUUGUCGGAGAACAAAACCCGGGACGUGUCCCGGACUGCGUGUAUCCGAAGAAAAAGCAUCGGCUAACUCCGUGCCAGAAGGCGCGGGGAUACGGAGGAUGCGAGCGUUAUCCGGAUUUAUUGGGUGUAAAGGGUGCGUAGGCGGGCGGUUAAGUCAGCGGUA